AUACGGAGGGAGCAAGCGUUGUUCGGAAUCAUUGGGCGUAAAGCGCGCGUAGGCGGCUUUGUAAGUCGGAUGUGAAAGCCCUGGGCUCAACCUGGGAAUGGCAUUCGAUACUGCAUAACUAGAGUAUGGUAGAGGGAAGUGGAAUUUCCGGUGUAGCGGUGAAAUGCGUAGAUAUCGGAAGGAACACCAGUGGCGAAGGCGACUUCCUGGGCCAAUACUGACGCUGAGGUGCGAAAGCGUGGGGAGCGAACCGGAUUAGAUACCCGAGUAGUCC
rnacentral:rRNA from 1 species